GAAUGAAUACUGGCUGCUACUAGUAGUACUGGUACGACGGCGAGCAGAGCAGAGCAGAGCACAGCAGCGCUACACGUUGGGCGUGCAUCCAUUCAGGAUCAUGGACGACGGCGACUGGAUCACGGCGAGGUACCUCCUCUCGUCGAUCCUCGGGCGGAACCCGCUGGUGGUGGACUACGUCGACGAGGAGUCCUUCCCCGUCGACCUUCCUCCACCUCCCGCGCCGUCCCCCUCUUCCUCCGGCGGCCGCCGCGCGGAGCCGCCGCCGCCGGUGCGCGCGCCCGCGGGGGUGGCCGGCACGGUGUGCGCGGUGUGCACGGAGGAGAUCGCGGCGGCGGACCCCGUGGCGCGCCUGCCCUGCGCGCACUGGUACCACCACGGCUGCAUCGCGCCGUGGCUCGGGAUCCGCCCCACCUGCCCCAUGUGCCGCGCCGAGCUGCCGCCGAGGGAAGCCGACGCCGGGGAGGAUGGCCCCGCCCGCGCCAAGCCGCCGCCCGCGGGGACCAGCGCCGGCGCGACGGUCGCGGCCGCACGCGCAAGGCGGGACGCGCCGUACGAGCUCCUCGCCGGCGGCGUGCUGUCCGGCUGAUCCGGCCGUCGAGUAGAUAGGGAGUUUGGCGCGUGGACCCGGUCCUAGCUGUGAGCUCAGGGCCGGCCGGCUCCUUUGUUUGUACAGGGCAAAUUGGGUACUCCGAAAAGCAAUAAAAAAAAACAACAUUUCGACCCG